rnacentral:tRNA from 1 species
GCGGGUGUUGUAUAAUGGUAAUACGCGACCCUUCCAAGGUCGAGCCACGGGUUCGAUUCCCGUCACCCGCUUCA